rnacentral:misc_RNA from 1 species
AAUGCCUCAAGAAGAAAGUGA